rnacentral:rRNA from 1 species
GAUGAACGCUGGCGGCGUGCCUAAUACAUGCAAGUCGAGCGAACAGAUAAGGAGCUUGCUCCUUUGACGUUAGCGGCGGACGGGUGAGUAACACGUGGGUAACCUACCUAUAAGACUGGAAUAACUCCGGGAAACCGGGGCUAAUGCCGGAUAACAUUUAGAACCGCAUGGUUCUAAAGUGAAAGAUGGUUUUGCUAUCACUUAUAGAUGGACCCGCGCCGUAUUAGCUAGUUGGUAAGGUAACGGCUUACCAAGGCAACGAUACGUAGCCGACCUGAGAGGGUGAUCGGCCACCCUGGAACUGAGACACGGUCCAGACUCCUACGGGAGGCAGCAGUAGGGAAUCUUCCGCAAUGGGCGAAAGCCUGACGGAGCAACGCCGCGUGAGUGAUGAAGGUCUUCGGAUCGUAAAACUCUGUUAUUAGGGAAGAACAAAUGUGUAAGUAACUGUGCACGUCUUGACGGUACCUAAUCAGAAAGCCACGGCUAACUACGUG